UUUUGAAAAACGACCCAGGGAGUGCACUUGAUUGGCGAGUCUAACCCGUGAACCGGGGAAGGCGCAGGGAAACCGAUACGGCCGCAGCAUUGCGAGGGCCACCGUGUUCAAGCGCGGGGAGUCAACCAGGUGCGACCCGAAACCAGGCGAUCUACGCGCGAGCAAGGUGAAGCGUGGCGAAAGCCACGUGGAGGCCUGUUAGAGUUGGUAUUCUACNCCUCUCGUGACUCGUGUGUAGGGGUGAAAGGCCCAUCGAGCCUGGCAACAGCUGGUUCCAACCGAAACAUGUCGAAGCAUGACCUCUUCCGAGGUAGCCCGCGGGGUAGAGCUACCGAUUGGAUGACCCGCCUCCGAGAGGAGUCGGCCAUCCUGUCGAACUCCAAACCCGCAGGCGCUGUAGACGAAGGGAGUCCGGUGCGCGGGGUAAGCCUGUGUACCGUGAGGGGAACAACCCAGAGCCGGGUUAAGGUCCCAAAGUGUAGAUUAAGUGCGAUUCGAAGGUGGUCUCAAGCCCUAAACAGCCGGGAGGGGAGCUUAGAAGCAGCUACCCGCUAAGAAAAGCGUAACAGCUUACCGGCCGAGGUUUGAGGCGCCCAAAAUGAUCGGGGCUCAAAUCUACCACCGAGACCUGGCCGUGCCCUUGACAGGGGCAACCGCGUAGGUUGGCGUACUGGUCGGANNAGCAGCGAUAGUCGGGUGAGAACCUCGACGGCCUGAAGAGCAAGGGUUCCUCGGCACUGCCGUUCAGCCGAGGGUUAGCCGGUCCUAAGAUGUACCACAACUUGACUACAUCAACGGGAAGCUGGUUAAUAUUCCAGCGCCAUCGUGCAGUAAACGCCGACGCCGUGUGGAACGCUGAGCCGGGCCUUCGCCCGGUCGAAUCGUGGAAACUCGUGGAAGCCGUCACGGCACGAAGCGAGCGAAACGCGAAAUAGCGAAAGUCAGCCGUACAUAGGGCCCGUGAAAAGGCAAGCAUGAUGUCCGUACCNGCCGUCACGGCACGAAGCGAGCGAAACGCGAAAUAGCGAAAGUCAGCCGUACAUAGGGCCCGUGAAAAGGCAAGCAUGAUGUCCGUACCGAGAUCCGACACAGGUGCUCUGCCAGCGCAAGGCAAGGCCUGUCGGGAGAACCGACGUUAGGGAAUUCGGCAAGUUAGUCCCGUACCUUCGGAAGAAGGGAUGCCUGCUCUCGACGGAGCAGGUCGCAGUGACUCGGGCGCUCCGACUGUCUAGUAACAACACAGGUGACCGCAAAUCCGCAAGGACUCGUACGGUCACUGAAUCCUGCCCAGUGCGGGUAUCUGAACACCUCGUACAAGAGGACGAAGGACCCGUCAACGGCGGGGGUAACUAUGACCCUCUUAAGGUAGCGUAGUACCUUGCCGCUUCAGUAGCGGCUUGCAUGAAUGGAUAAACGAGAGCGCCACUGUCCCAACGUUGGACCCGGUGAACUGUACGUUCCAGUGCGGAGUCUGGAGACCCCCAAGGGGAAGCGAAGACCCUAUAGAGCUUUACUGCAGGCUGUCGCUGAGACGUGGUCGCCGAUGUGCAGCAUAGGUAGGAGUC
rnacentral:rRNA from 1 species